rnacentral:tRNA from 1 species
UGAUAAUUAGUUUAAUAAAAACAAAUGAUUUCGACUCAUUAAAUUGUAAUUAACAUUACAAUUAUCAA